AGCGUGUCUCAGAGUUCGGCUGUACGAAGCGGUGUUGACGGGCCACCAGCCCCUCGGGUUCCAAGAUGCAGCUACUGGAGACAGAGUUCUCACACACCGUGGGCGAGCUCAUCGAGGUGCACCUGCGGCGCCAGGACAGCAUCCCUGCCUUCCUCAGCUCGCUCACCCUCGAGCUCUUCAGCCGCCAGACCGUGGCGUAGCCUGCAGCCUCGGGGGCAUAGCCGGAGCCACUCUGCUUGGCCUGACCUGCAGGUCCCCUGCCCCGCCAGCCACAGGCUGGGUGCACGUCCUGUCUCUCCAGCCCCACAGGGCAGUGGCACGACUGACAGACACGCUGGGACCUACGUCAGGCUUCCUGCUGGGGUGGCCAGCACCCUCCCCACGUGCAGACCCCAUGCGUCCCGGAGCCUGGUGUGUGGGCGUCGGCCACCAGCCCGGGUUCCUCACCUUGUGA
rnacentral:sRNA from 1 species